rnacentral:tRNA from 1 species
GGGGAUUUAGCACAGUGGUAGUGCACUUGCCUAGCAAGCGCAAGGCCCUGGGUUCAGUCCCCA